UUGUUUUUCAAUUCUGCCCUCUCAAUACUUAGGGCAGAUGUUUUGGCUUCCAGUUCAUCCACUUUCCUCCUCAUUUCUUUAUUAAUUUCUUUUUCUUUCUGUCAAAAACAAGACAGUAAUAUUUGGCUGAUGAGAUGUUCUUGAAUAACAGGUUGGAUAGAUAAUUCAUAGAACACACUAACAGAAAAGGCAGAUAGAAUGCUCUAAAGUGCUACAGCUAUUGCAGUUUACCUCAACAACUGGACCGUAGUGUUUGGUUCAGGAGUUAGUCUAUCCGGGAGAUUUUGGAGGAACCGAAUGGUUCAAGGUACGAGCACAAUAUUCUUUUUUGAGAGUCACUUCAUUCUAUACGAAACCAAUCUAAACAACAACAAGUUACAAGCAGAGCGACUUUCGUAUGCUCAGGGACCAAACACUACGUACCUUAGUGUCUUGUAGGUCUUGGGUAUAGGUGGAACUAUGUUAUUCAGAACUUCAGAUGGUUACUAUGAGCAUUUGUUUCAUGUUACAACUUGCAAAUCGUUGAAUAAUAAAGGUAGUAGAUUCAACUCAUAACCUAUUGCUUAGAAAAACUUUUUACCCACUAUAACGGUAAGACAACCUCUAGAAAUUAUGUGAUAGAGAAGAUCUCGGCAGAUUUUGAAGAUUUUUUAACCCAGUUUAAAUUUGUUCCCAAAUAAGUAGUUAAAAUCAGGACAUAUAUAAAGAGUGAUAGUGAGAUCAUAGAACCAGUUCAGCUAGUGGCAUGUUUCGCAUAGCCUAUUGCUUAAGAGUACUUAGUAGUUGACGGAGUCUGAUCAGUCAAAAGGCGCAGGCACAAAGAAACAGACAUUCAAGCAAGCAACAUCUAUCGGUUAGAAACGCAAUUGUGAUUCAUGCAAACACACGGAUGCAUGCAAGCUAGCCAUGCAUAUCCAAAUACCUCGAGGAGGACUUGGAAGGAGAUGAGCUGCUGGUCGCGUUCCUGGACGAGGACGGCGAGGACGCGGCGCUCCCUCAUCUUGUGCAGGAUGCCGACGCUCACCGCGGCGGCUCCGACGGCCAGCAGCACCAGCAGGAGGAUCUUGUGGUGCUGUUUACUGCAGGACGGGGCAAAUGCUGUGACAGCGGCUGCUUGAAGAAACUGGGGUCUCCUUUUCGGUUGCUUCGGUUCUGGAAAGAGAAGUGAGCUUGCUUUGCUUAGGAAUGGUGUGAGACGAGGCACUAGGUGGCGCCAAGUCUUAGGGCUAGCUAGUGUAUACUUCACUUGCUUCAAGGUGGGUAACUGGGGAUGCACAUGCUCAUCUCAGUCUAGCUAGCAGUAGCUGAUCUCUUCGAGCCAUAGAGAGGGCAUAACGCCUGACUCUCUUCGAGUUUUGACUUUGAUGGUUAUCGUUAGAUCUAGGCAACAUUAACUACGAUGCUUGUAUUUGCAUCUGAUCUCACAGUAAAGUAUCAUACUACUGUUCAUGUUCGUUGCCCAUCAAACUUAGCAACACUUUGUAUACAAAUCAGAAGAACUGAAACACUUUGUAUUUGCAUCUGACCAGAGUGACAAAAAAAAAAGGACACCGCCAUCUUCUACAGUCACAAUUCACAAAAUCGUCUGUCAACAGGAAAGGAUGAGCUCAUGAAGUUCUCUAGCUAACGAAGUUUUCUUCAUGAACGGUGUUGAGAAAAAUGCAUUAUAUAGAAGACGAUGGCUACAUGUCUACAUGAAGAACACAACUUAGGUCAAUCUUCAAAGAAAUUCGCAUAGUAAUAAGAAUGUUAUUUUGAGCAUUGUGUAGGGGAGUAUAUGAUUGUUAUCAUGUGUUGGCACAUAUUUUCUUUUUUAUUACAGUAUUAAAUAUCAGUAAUUAUCGUUAAAACAUUCAGCAUGAUAGUGACUAAACUUUAGCAAAAUAUAGGCUUAAUUAGGUUUAUUAAA